GAUGAAGAACGCAGCGAAAUGCGAUAAGUAAUGUGAAUUGCAGAAUUCAGUGAAUCAUCGAAUCUUUGAACGCACAUUGCGCCCGUCAGUAUUCUGGCGGGCAUGCCUGUUCGAGCGUCAUUACGCCCCUCAAGUCCCUGUGGACUUGGUGUUGGGGAUCGGCGAGGCUGGUUUUCCAGCACAGCCGUCCCUUAAAUUAAUUGGCGGUCUCGCCGUGGCCCUCCUCUGCGCAGUAGUAAAACACUCGCAACAGGAGCCCGGCGCGGUCCACUGCCGUAAAACCCCCCAACUUUUUAUAGUUGACCUCGAAUCAGGUAGGACUACCCGCUGAACUUAAGCAUAUCAAUAAGCGGAGGA
rnacentral:misc_RNA from 1 species